UCACCAGGAGUACCCUCCUGGUGUUAUAAUUGUACCUAUGAAAAGUAGGACAGCGAAGCCUUUCCAUACAACAAACUUGAUUAUAUUUGCACCUCAGAGUGUCUCAGCAGAAUGUGGGGAUUAUGGUUUUGUAGCUCGUGGUGAUGCAUUGAUAGUGGAUCCAGGAUGUCUUGCUGAUUUUCAUGGGGAGCUCUUGAAAAUUGUCUCUGCUCUCUCCAGAAAGUUAGUUGUCUUUGUCACCCAUCACCACCAUGACCAUGUUGAUGGUCUUUCUAUCAUCCAAAGGUGUAAUCCUGACGCUACUUUAUUAGCACACAAGAACACCAUGCGCCGCAUUGGAAAAGAGGAUUGGUCUCUUGGCUAUACCUCAGUUUCUGGAGGAGAAGAGAUUUGCAUUGGUGGUCAAAGGUUGAAAGUCAUUUUUGCUCCAGGACAUACAGACGGCCAUGUGGCACUGCUUCAUAUCAGCACUCACUCAUUGAUUGUAGGGGAUCAUUGUGUGGGUCAAGGAAGUGCAGUCUUGGAUGUUACUUCUGGAGGGAAUAUGGCUGAUUACUUCCAGUCAACUUACAAAUUUAUUGAGCUUGCUCCACAUGCUUUGAUCCCAAUGCAUGGGAGAGUCAAUCUGUGGCCAAAGCACAUGCUUUGUGCAUAUCUCAAGAAUCGCCGGAGUAGAGAAGCAGCCAUCUUGAAAGCUAUAGAAAAUGGAGCAAAGACAUUAAUUGACAUAGUUGCCAGUGUUUAUUGUGACGUGGAUCGCAGAGCUUGGAUUGCUGCUGCAUCAAAUGUGCGGCUUCAUGCUGAUCAUCUGGCUCGGCAAAAUAAAUUACCGAAGGA
rnacentral:misc_RNA from 1 species